GCAUGACAGAAUAUAGUGAGGUAUUAGUAAAAAGAUUUUUUUAAUAGAAUAAGAAGGUCAUUAAUUUUUAUAAAUAUUAUAUAUGUGUAUAUAUCUGUGUCAAUCUAUAUUGUAUGUGCAUGUCUACUUAUCUCUGUAUUUGUCUCUUGGGAGAGAGAGAUGGUACCAUCACUUGGAAUGUGGGCCAUAUAGUCACAUCGCUACAGAAAGUGAAGCAUCUUCAGGGAAGCUGACAAGCAACAACGAGCAGACAUUGAGAGCGGGGGCAAGAGACAAUAUAGGAAGGAAGAGAUGCAGUUCUGGAUUUUACAGGCUUAUGGAGUAGACCAAUGUUUGGAACGCCAUAUGGAUUUAUGGAUCUUCUUUCCACGUAGGAAGAUGACUUCUUUGAAAGACAGGUAAUGUGAGACACAUGCCCUGAACUCCGGAGUGAAUAGCAGCUGAAACAGCUGCUGGAGCCCCUAUCCUGCCAGCAAGUAUCCCCUUCAUCUUCAGGCUGACAGAGAGCUGCUGGCUGCAUCUGAUCUGUCAGCUGCUUCACUCCUCCGGAAUGAGCAAAUAGUCUGUGCCCUGAUCUAAGAUGAGAAAAAACAACAGCCUAAUCACUAAAAACUCUGCCACUGACGCACAUGCAAAUAGCAGUUUAUAACAACAAAAAAGAGGCAUAUAUGUAGCUGGCCUAUAAUUAUUAUAUUAGACAAUUUUAUGGAUAAGUGCCUGGCUACUCUUUGGGAGAGAAAAAAAUAAUCUCCCAUCAGGAUCUACCUACAGAAAUAUCAGCACUAAUAAUUUUCAGUGGGGGAAUGCUUAGCUUUUUCAACAUUAGCAAUACUAAAAAUAAAAAGCAAUAAUAAUACUCUAAAUGGUAGUGGUACUGUAACAAUUCAGUUGAUAUUUUCUGCUCAAAGUCUUUACAAUUGACAAGUCACCUCUUACACUGUAUUUUAUUUUUAUGUGUUAAGUGAGACUACUGACUUAGAUAAUCUCUGAAGUCCCUUUCAUUAUAUAAUAUUGUAACUCUGAGCUUAAUUCUUCUAUAUAUCUGAUAGAAUUUCUCUAUGAUCAUUGUACUAGCAUAUAAUAAGUAGGGUUCACACUGAUUCAGGAAGAGUUUUUAAAAACAUAUUUAAUAUUCUCAGGUAAUUUUUCAGAACUGUUAAAAACUAUUUAGCCUUUUGACUUGUGGAAAAAAAACAAUAGUUGUAUCUAAGGAUAAAAAGAUGACAAGAAAUAGAAUAAUAACAAAAAGACUAAAAUAUUUCAUAGCUUCUCAAUUCUGUAUGCCAUAUUUUACAUAAAUGUUACAAAAUUCAAGGAAGUAGGUAUUUUCUUCAUUUUUUUUUAAUCUGCAGAGUGGUAGUGGAACUUGCCAAGGACAUACAGUUUUAGCCACAGUUUAACACUAGACCUUCUGGUUUCAAGUCCAAACCUCUAGCACCAAUCUACGGCUGUUUCUUGAUGACAGGCCUGGUAUUCUCCACUAAAUUCAUACUUUUCAUGAAAAAAUAAUAAUGUCAAGUUCUCCACAUUAGGAACUGCUAUGGUCUGAAUGUUUGUUUUCCCCCAAAAUCCAUAUGUUGAAGUUAUAACCUCCAAGAUGAUGGUAUUAGUAGGUGGGGCCCUUGGUAAGUGAUUUGGUCAUUAUGUCAUUUUUAUUAGAGUUUAGUGCCUUGCCCCUUCUUCCAUGUAAGGACACAGCAAAAAGACAGAGGUCUAUGAACAAGGAAGUGGGCCUUCACCAGGCACCAAACUGCCAGCACCUUUAUUUUACACCUCCCGGCCUUCAGAACUGUAAGACAUAAAUUGCUGUUGUUUGUAAGCCACGUGUCUAUAAUACUUUGUUAUAGCAGCCUGAAAGGGCCACAACUUUGACUCAUUUAAAAUACAUAAGUGCAAACACAAAUUAAAUGUAAGCUUUAUAUUGAUGUAAACAUAUGUAGCAAAAGAAUAUAAAUAGGUCUGGAAUUAAA
rnacentral:lncRNA from 1 species